rnacentral:rRNA from 1 species
UACGUAGGGUGCGAGCGUUAAUCGGAAUACUGGGCGUAAAGCGUGCGCAGGCGGUGAUGUAAGACAGGUGUGAAAUCCCCGGGCUUAACCUGGGAACUGCAUUUGUGACUGCAUCGCUGGAGUGCGGCAGAGGGGGAUGGAAUUCCGCGUGUAGCAGUGAAAUGCGUAGAGAUGUGGAGGAACACCGAUGGCGAAGGCAGCCCCCUGGGUCAACACUGACGCUCAUGCACGAAAGCGUGGGGAGCAAACAGG